rnacentral:rRNA from 1 species
AUUCUGGGCGUAAGCGCGCGUAGGUGGCUAAGUCAGCCAGGUGUGAAAGCCCCGGGCUCAACCUGGGAACGGCAUCUGGAACUGCUUGGCUAGAGUGCAGGAGAGGAAGGUAGAAUUCCCGGUGUAGCGGUGAAAUGCGUAGAGAUCGGGAGGAAUACCAGUGGCGAAGGCGGCCUUCUGGACUGACACUGACACUGAGGUGCGAAAGCGUGGGUAGCAAACAGGAUUAGAUACCCUGGUAGUCCACGCCGUAAACGAUGUCAACUAGCCGUUGGGUCCCUUGAGGACUUAGUGGCGCAGCUAACGCAAUAAGUUGACCGCCUGGGGAGUACGGCCGCAAGGUUAAAACUCAAAUGAAUUGACGGGGGCCCGCACAAGCGGUGGAGCAUGUGGUUUAAUUCGAUGCAACGCGAAGAACCUUACCUACCCUUGACAUCCAGAGGACUUUCCAGAGAUGGAUUGGUGCCUUCGGGAACUCUGAGACAGGUGCUGCAUGGCUGUCGUCAGCUCGUGUUGUGAAAUGUUGGGUUAAGUCCCGUAACGAGCGCAACCCCUAUCCUUAUUUGCCAGCGAGUAAUGUCGGGAACUCUAAGGAGACUGCCGGUGACAAACCGGAGGAAGGUGGGGACGACGUCAAGUCAUCAUGGCCCUUACGGGUAGGGCUACACACGUGCUACAAUGGCAAGUACAAAGGGUUGCAAUACUGCGAAGUGGAGCCAAUCCCAUAAAGCUUGCCUCAGUCCGGAUUGGAGUCUGCAACUCGACUCCAUGAAGUCGGAAUCGCUAGUAAUCGUGGAUCAGAAUGCCACGGUGAAUACGUUCCCGGGCCUUUGUACACACCGCCCGUCACACCAUGGGAGUGGACUGCACCAGAAGUGGUUAGCCUAACCUUCGGGAAGGGCGAUCACCACGGUGUGGUUCAUGACUGGGGUGAA